GGGCCUUUGAGCUCAUAUUUAAACCAAAAAAAUAUAAAAAAAAAAGAAAUUGUAAUUUUAUUUUAAUCAGCAUUAUUUAUUUUUUUUUUCUAUUUUUUCCUUUUUUUUUUCUUUCCCUUCUAAAACCUUUCAAUCUGAAAUGGGCUGAGCCGAUUCAUGGGCCUAAGCCUACUCAUUCAGAUUGGGUUCUAAUACAGAAAAACCUCGACACUGGAAUUUCUUACUUGGAGACAAAGUGGGCAAGCUUGCGCCGUUUGGUCACAUUCUGUACAGAGACACAGAUGCCGACACGGCAGCACCACCACAGNCGCUUGCACCUUGGCCCAGCCGUCACCGUUACCCUCUCCGGAUCAACGUACGCUGACUCCGCAUCCUCCGCUUGUCCAUCUACUCCCCCAGAGCAUCCUAUCCCGCCUUCGUCCCCUCUCCUGUUAUCCUGCGUCACCAUUCCUCCGCUCAUUAUCGCCUGCUGCAGUUGCCUGCAGCGAUGCAGCCGUAGCCUCUUGUGCCCUAGCCUUUGCCUGCCAAACCUGUGCCUCCACGCUGAGUUGGGCGGCGCGUGCCUCUAAUUCGGCGUUACGUCGAGUGGCUUUUUCGACUUCGGCUUCUUUCUCUUUCAAUCGCCUGGUUAUUGAUUCCUCCGCUACGCUCAGCAGCGCACGAUAGUGCCUCUUCCUCUUAUCGGCUAAUGUGCGCCUCAAAUGCUCUCCCUGAGCUUGAAGGAAUUGAUCUAUCUCAUCUCUUUGGCGUUUAAUUUGGGUGGCAAAAUCUUCUGAUAAUAAGCACAAGAAAGGAGAUGAUUGGGAUACAAAACUCUGUUGCUGUUGUUGCUGCUGCUGCUGCUGCUGGAUAAUGGUGAUUUUGUUGCAUUUGUUGUUGGUCGCCGAAAGAUAAACGGAGGCCCGUGGAGACAACAUUUGGUUGGGAUAGGUGCUGCUGGUUGUGGAGAUGGGAGAGGUCUAUUAGCUGAGGAGCUUGAGAUUGCAUAGAGAAUGGAUGGAUUGUUGGCCCUGUUGUGAUGCCACCAGUGGUCGUUGUAAUUGCUGCCGCCGCCGCCGCUGCUGAUGCCACUUCUCUUCCUCUCUUUCGUGGAUUAUUAGUCCCUCCAUUGGUGAAUAGCAUAUGGGAUU
rnacentral:misc_RNA from 1 species